CCUANGGGGGGCUGCAGUGAGGAAUAUUGGUCAAUGGACGCAAGUCUGAACCAGCCAUGCCGCGUGCAGGAUGACGGCCCUAUGGGUUGUAAACUGCUUUUGUUUGGGAAGAAACUCUCGUACGUGUACGGGACUGACGGUACCAGGCGAAUAAGCAUCGGCUAACUCCGUGCCAGCAGCCGCGGUAAUACGGAGGAUGCAAGCGUUAUCCGGAUUUAUUGGGCGUAAAGCGGAUGCAUGUGGCUUUGUCAGUCAGGUGUGAAAUCCCAGGGCUCAACCCUGGAAGUGCAUUUGAUACUGCAAAGCUUGAGUGCUAGAGAGGUAAGUAGAAUACCUGGUGUAGUGGUGAAAUACGUAGAUAUCAGGUGGAAUACCGGAGGCGAAGGCGGCUUACUGGCUAGACACUGACACUCAGAUCCGAAAGCGUGGGGAUCAAACAGGAUUAGAUACCCUANUANUC
rnacentral:rRNA from 1 species